rnacentral:rRNA from 1 species
UACGUAUGUCGCAAGCGUUAUCCGGAAUUAUUGGGCAUAAAGGGCAUCUAGGCGGCCAGACAAGUCUGGGGUGAAAACUUGCGGCUCAACCGCAAGCCUGCCCUGGAAACUGUUUGGCUAGAGUGCUGGAGAGGUGGACGGAACUGCACGAGUAGAGGUGAAAUUCGUAGAUAUGUGCAGGAAUGCCGAUGAUGAAGAUAGUUCACUGGACGGUAACUGACGCUGAAGUGCGAAAGCUGGGGGAGCGAAAAGG